GACGAACGCUGGCGGCGUGCUUAACACAUGCAAGUCGAACGGAAAGGCCCUGCUUUUGUGGGGUGCUCGAGUGGCGAACGGGUGAGUAACACGUGAGUAACCUGCCCUUGACUUUGGGAUAACUUCAGGAAACUGGGGCUAAUACCGGAUAGGAGCUCCUGCUGCAUGGUGGGGGUUGGAAAGUUUCGGCGGUUGGGGAUGGACUCGCGGCUUAUCAGCUUGUUGGUGGGGUAGUGGCUUACCAAGGCUUUGACGGGUAGCCGGCCUGAGAGGGUGACCGGCCACAUUGGGACUGAGGGAGGGCCCAGACGCCUACGGGAGGCAGCGGUGGGGAAUAUUGCACAAUGGGCGGAAGGCUGAUGCAGCAGCGCCGCGUGCGGGAUGACGGCCUUCGGGUUGUAAACCGCUUUCGCCUGUGACGAAGCGUGAGUGACGGUAAUGGGUAAAGAAGCACCGGCUAACUACGUG
rnacentral:rRNA from 1 species